CGAAUCGAUGGGAGCUUGCUCCCUGAGAUUAGCGGCGGACGGGUGAGUAACACGUGGGCAACCUGCCUAUAAGACUGGGAUAACUUCGGGAAACCGGAGCUAAUACCGGAUACGUUCUUUUCUCGCAUGAGAGAAGAUGGAAAGACGGUUUACGCUGUCACUUAUAGAUGGGCCCGCGGCGCAUUAGCUAGUUGGUGAGGUAAUGGCUCACCAAGGCGACGAUGCGUAGCCGACCUGAGAGGGUGAUCGGCCACACUGGGACUGAGACACGGCCCAGACUCCUACGGGAGGCAGCAGUAGGGAAUCUUCCGCAAUGGACGAAAGUCUGACGGAGCAACGCCGCGUGAACGAAGAAGGCCUUCGGGUCGUAAAGUUCUGUUGUUAGGGAAGAACAAGUACCAGAGUAACUGCUGGUACCUUGACGGUACCUAACCAGAAAGCCACGGCUAACUACGUGCCAGCAGCCGCGGUAAUACGUAGGUGGCAAGCGUUGUCCGGAAUUAUUGGGCGUAAAGCGCGCGCAGGUGGUUCCUUAAGUCUGAUGUGAAAGCCCACGGCUCAACCGUGGAGGGUCAUUGGAAACUGGGGAACUUGAGUGCAGAAGAGGAAAGUGGAAUUCCAAGUGUAGCGGUGAAAUGCGUAGAGAUUUGGAGGAACACCAGUGGCGAAGGCGACUUUCUGGUCUGUAACUGACACUGAGGCGCGA
rnacentral:rRNA from 1 species